GGGCCUCGCCCUGCCCCGCGGCGGGAACGCGGCCGUGAGGGUGUGGGGUGUAGGUCCGCCAGGCCUGCAACGGCUGCCGAGGGUCGUGGGAUGCGCUCGCCGCGUCCCUGCUCAGGCGGAGGGAGCCCGGCCCGCCGCCAGGGUCUCGAGUCCGGGUCCAGGCAGGCGUGGAGGAGUAUGACAACUUUUCAACUUGAGUGCACACACUGUCCCCGGAAUCCCGCGUUCCAGGGAGGAAGCGCCUUUGACAGCGCGCGCCGGUUCGUGGGGCCCGACGGCGUGGGCCUGUGGUUGCGGACCUGGCGGAGAUGCGCGUUCGCUUCGAUUGUAGGCCAUUCCUUUUAGGAGCUGAGAAAGGAUCCGUUUUUACAGCAUUCUCGACCUGUGAUUCUUGGUGGGGGAAACUAGUUAUGUGGAUAAAAAUACAGUUAGCAAAAUAAAAAUGCCAAUUUUACAUUUCCUUAAAUAUCUCAUUAAUAAUUAGAAAACUUUG
rnacentral:lncRNA from 10 species